GGGCCUAAGAGAUAACUCCAACCCAUGUGAACGUUACCAAACUGUUGCCUCGGCGGGAUCUCUGCCCCGGGUGCGUCGCAGCCCCGGACCAAGGCGCCCGCCGGAGGACCAACCAAAACUCUUUUUGUAUACCCCCUCGCGGGUUUUUUAUAAUCUGAGCCUUCUCGGCGCCUCUCGUAGGCGUUUCGAAAAUGAAUCAAAACUUUCAACAACGGAUCUCUUGGUUCUGGCAUCGAUGAAGAACGCAGCGAAAUGCGAUAAGUAAUGUGAAUUGCAGAAUUCAGUGAAUCAUCGAAUCUUUGAACGCACAUUGCGCCCGCCAGUAUUCUGGCGGGCAUGCCUGUCCGAGCGUCAUUUCAACCCUCGAACCCCUCCGGGGGGUCGGCGUUGGGGAUCGGCCCUGCCUCUUGGCGGUGGCCGUCUCCGAAAUACAGUGGCGGUCUCGCCGCAGCCUCUCCUGCGCAGAAGUUUGCGCACUCGGAACUGUGGCCCGGCGCGUCGAGAGCGCUUAAACACCCCAGUUUUUGAAACGCUCAACUUCUAAAAUGUUGACCUCGCCUCAGGAAGGAAUACCUCUCUAAAAUUUGAGCGUACAAUGGGGGGGGAUU
rnacentral:rRNA from 1 species